CUCCCAAGGUGGUGGGAUAACAGUGAUGCAUGCUUUGUUGUGAUAUUUCCAUGUAUUGUGUUAGAUGCAGAUGGUUGUUCGCAGAAGUCAGUGUAAAUAAUACGGGUUAUGCCUGUUCAGCUAUUGCAUGGGCUUCCAGGAUGCUACAGCUGCUGAGGGAAGAGGAGGUACAGCCUUUGGGAAGAGAGGAGAUAGGAAUUGUCCUUCAUUUCCGUUCUAAAACACUGGCAGUAUUGGUAAAUAUUGGCAAGAAAAGCUGCAUUGUUGACCCAGCCAUAGCACAGCUGUUUGCCCCAAUGUAAAAUCAGUCCCUGAGUUUUUGCUGCAGUGCUGCUGGAUACAGCAGGAACAGCAACAGCUGACCCUUGGAUAGCAAGAGAUGAUGGAACUUAAUUCACUUUACUGAGCUUGUUUUUCACUGAGCAGUAACUCAAAUACAUGUUUUCGUCAAACACUUAAUCAAAGAACUACACAAAUGCUGCAAAAUGUUUGCAAAGCAAAACAUUUGUCUAUUUAGAUAUUGAGGGAAUUACUCUAUUGAGAGAUUUGUUCCUGCUUAUGAGGUUUUUCUGUUACUCAAAGCCAGAAUGUUGACAACAUCCACUCCUGAAACAAGUCUUAAUUUUGAAAUCUAUGCAGUAUCUUCUGCUGCUGGAGGCUUUUAUGUAUUAACCUUAACAGAAGGCUCAAGGGCUGAAAUGAAAUCCUUGGCAAAGGUACAAGAUUCAGAGCAUUGCAUAUCUUGCAGUUCAGGUUUGGCUUGUCUGCUUUUCAGCUCUUCUAGACAUUGGAAAUACCAGUUUGUGUUUAUUUUCUCUGGAUUCCUUCCCACAAGACAGAAGUGAAUUCAGCACGGAUUAUUGGGGAGAGCCUUGGCUGGGAAUAAGGAUAAUUGCAGCCUCUGGCUGUGCCACAGUUUCACUGAUGAUUUCUUUUAAGUUACUCACCUGCACUGUAUCUGUUUCUUCAGCUGUAAAAUGUGGGUAAUUACCUCCAUUGUAAAAUGUUACAGGGUCUGCUGGUAAUUAUAUGAACGAAGUGCUAAUUACAGUGAUUAUCCGUUGGACCUAGUCUAGAUCUGGCUGAUGUUCCUGUUGUGAUGAACGUAUGAAACAAAUACUACAAGUUGCUUUUCUCCAUUCUUUGUGAGGGGCCUGGAAGGUGCUGCAUCAUGCGAUGUGUUCCCAGUGAGAAGCUCUGCUGCCCUGUCACCCAGGUCCCUCUGUUCAUUUCUUGUUCCCCUCUGCCCUCGUGUGUUACAGGGCUGUGGAGAGGCUGAGGAAUUACUGAUUCACUAGCUGGAGCCACAUACGAUCUGAUAGCCAGGGUUUAUGUUGUGGCUUCACUUUUCCUCUUGGGGAUUAUGAGGAAGGCAGCAGCCAGGGAACUGUACUCCCAAGAUACCAGUUGGGUUGGGGCCAGUCUGUGCUGCCUAGUGGCCUCCAUUCUUUAAGAAAUUCUGACCUUGAUGCCAGGAGAGGUGUCCUUCCAGCUGUGGAGAUUAUUUCUCUCCUGUAAAAGCCUACAGCUUGCAAGACUUUAUUAUCAAA